rnacentral:rRNA from 1 species
UCCUACGGGAGGCAGCAGUGGGGAAUAUUGGACAAUGGGCGAAAGCCUGAUCCAGCCAUGCCGCGUGUGUGAAGAAGGCCUUUUGGUUGUAAAGCACUUUAAGCGAGGAGGAGGCUACUUGGAUUAAUACUCUAGGAUAGUGGACGUUACUCGCAGAAUAAGCACCGGCUAACUCUGUGCCAGCAGCCGCGGUAAUACAGAGGGUGCGAGCGUUAAUCGGAUUUACUGGGCGUAAAGCGUGCGUAGGCGGCUUUUUAAGUCGGAUGUGAAAUCCCUGAGCUUAACUUAGGAAUUGCAUUCGAUACUGGGAAGCUAGAGUAUGGGAGAGGAUGGUAGAAUUCCAGGUGUAGCGGUGAAAUGCGUAGAGAUCUGGAGGAAUACCGAUGGCGAAGGCAGCCAUCUGGCCUAAUACUGACGCUGAGGUACGAAAGCAUGGGGAGCAAACAGGAUUAGAUACCCUGGUAGUCCAUGCCGUAAACGAUGUCUACUAGCCGUUGGGGCCUUUGAGGCUUUAGUGGCGCAGCUAACGCGAUAAGUAGACCGCCUGGGGAGUACGGUCGCAAGACUAAAACUCAAAUGAAUUGACGGGGGCCCGCACAAGCGGUGGAGCAUGUGGUUUAAUUCGAUGCAACGCGAAGAACCUUACCUGGUCUUGACAUAGUAAGAACUUUCCAGAGAUGGAUUGGUGCCUUCGGGAACUUACAUACAGGUGCUGCAUGGCUGUCGUCAGCUCGUGUCGUGAGAUGUUUGGUCAAGUCCUAUAACGAGCGAAACCCUCGUUUUGUGUUGCUGAGACAUGCGCCUAAGGAGAAAGUCUUUGCAACCGAAGUGAGCCGAGGAGCCGAGUGACGCGCCAGCGCUACUAAUUGAGUGCCAGCACGUAGCUGUGCUGUCAGUAAGAAGGGAGCCGGCGCCUUUCGAAUUCGAAGCACUUUCUAGUGUGCGCUGUUUUUUGAUUGCAGCUAGCGCGCUUUACUAAAUAGAAAGGGCUUUUCUCGCUUGUU